rnacentral:rRNA from 1 species
AUUGAACGCUGGCGGCAGGACUAACACAUGCAAGUCGAACGAGUGGCGGACGGGUGAGUAAUGUCUGGGAAACUGCCCGAUGGAGGGGGAUAACUACUGGAAACGGUAGCUAAUACCGCAUACCAUCGGAUGUGCCCAGAGGGGAUUAGCUAGGAGGUGGGUUAACGGCGACCCGGGGCGACGAUCCCUAGCUGGUCUGAGAGGAUGACCAGCCAAACUGGAACUGAGACACGGUCCAGACUCCUACGGGAGGCAGCAGUGGGGAAUAUUGCACAAUGGGCGCAAGCCUGAUGCAGCCAUGCCGCGUGUAUGAAGAAGGCCUUCGGGUUGUAAAGUACUUUCAGCGAGGAGGCGUUACUCGCAGAAGAAGCACCGGCUAACUCCGUGCCAGCAGCCGCGGUAAUAC